rnacentral:tRNA from 1 species
GGCGCGUUCGUCUAGUGGCCAAGGACAUCGCCCUCUCAAGGCGAAGAUCACGGGUUCAAAUCCCGUACGCGCUACCA